UUUCAGAGUUUUUGUAAACUGCUUUUGAUGAAACACUUGUGCCGUUUGUGUCGCACUAUGAGAAAAAUACGACUUAAGCCGAUCUUUUCACAAUUAAGCCACGGGGCCAGUUGAUCCACGUACCAUAUGACAAAAAUCGAUAUUGAAUGUGUUUUUGGUCCUACUUCGUUAUUUUAAAGUUAUGGACUUCAAAAUGCGUACUUACAAGAGGACGACCGCACGUGGAGAGGCGACAAAAGAGCAGCUAUUUAAUGCAGCAAAAGCAGUUGAAAAUGAGGGAAAAAGUAUUAGAACCACAGCAACUGAAUUUGGAAUUGAUCGAACGACACUGGGCCGAUAUAUAAAAAUAUUAAAGAGUGGAGAUGGACCAGACAAAGUAACA